GAUGAACGCUGGCGGCGUGCCUAAUACAUGCAAGUCGAGCGAACAGACGAGGAGCUUGCUCCUCUGACGUUAGCGGCGGACGGGUGAGUAACACGUGGAUAACCUACCUAUAAGACUGGGAUAACUUCGGGAAACCGGAGCUAAUACCGGAUAAUAUAUUGAACCGCAUGGUUCAAUAGUGAAAGACGGUUUUGCUGUCACUUAUAGAUGGAUCCGCGCCGCAUUAGUUAGUUGGUAAGGUAACGGCUUACCAAGGCAACGAUGCGUAGCCGACCUGAGAGGGUGAUCGGCCACACUGGACCUGAGACACGGUCCAGCCUCCUACGGGAGGCAGCAGAAGGGAAUCUUCCGCAAUGGGCGAAAGCCUGACGGAGCAACGCCGCGUGAGUGAUGACGGUCUUCGGAUCGUAAAACUCUGUUAUUAGGGAAGAACAAAUGUGUAAGUAACUAUGCACGUCUUGACGGUACCUAAUCAGAAAGCCACGGCUAACUACGUG
rnacentral:rRNA from 1 species